rnacentral:rRNA from 2 species
AGAGUUUGAUCCUGGCUCAGAUUGAACGCUGGCGGCAGGCCUAACACAUGCAAGUCGAGCGGUAGCACAGAGAGCUUGCUCUCGGGUGACGAGCGGCGGACGGGUGAGUAAUGUCUGGGAAACUGCCUGAUGGAGGGGGAUAACUACUGGAAACGGUAGCUAAUACCGCAUAACGUCGCAAGACCAAAGUGGGGGACCUUCGGGCCUCAUGCCAUCAGAUGUGCCCAGAUGGGAUUAGCUAGUAGGUGGGGUAACGGCUCACCUAGGCGACGAUCCCUAGCUGGUCUGAGAGGAUGACCAGCCACACUGGAACUGAGACACGGUCCAGACUCCUACGGGAGGCAGCAGUGGGGAAUAUUGCACAAUGGGCGCAAGCCUGAUGCAGCCAUGCCGCGUGUGUGAAGAAGGCCUUCGGGUUGUAAAGCACUUUCAGCGGGGAGGAAGGCGGUGAGGUUAAUAACCUCAUCGAUUGACGUUACCCGCAGAAGAAGCACCGGCUAACUCCGUGCCAGCAGCCGCGGUAAUACGGAGGGUGCAAGCGUUAAUCGGAAUUACUGGGCGUAAAGCGCACGCAGGCGGUCUGUCAAGUCGGAUGUGAAAUCCCCGGGCUCAACCUGGGAACUGCAUUCGAAACUGGCAGGCUAGAGUCUUGUAGAGGGGGGUAGAAUUCCAGGUGUAGCGGUGAAAUGCGUAGAGAUCUGGAGGAAUACCGGUGGCGAAGGCGGCCCCCUGGACAAAGACUGACGCUCAGGUGCGAAAGCGUGGGGAGCAAACAGGAUUAGAUACCCUGGUAGUCCACGCUGUAAACGAUGUCGAUUUGGAGGUUGUGCCCUUGAGGCGUGGCUUCCGGAGCUAACGCGUUAAAUCGACCGCCUGGGGAGUACGGCCGCAAGGUUAAAACUCAAAUGAAUUGACGGGGGCCCGCACAAGCGGUGGAGCAUGUGGUUUAAUUCGAUGCAACGCGAAGAACCUUACCUGGUCUUGACAUCCACAGAACUUUCCAGAGAUGGAUUGGUGCCUUCGGGAACUGUGAGACAGGUGCUGCAUGGCUGUCGUCAGCUCGUGUUGUGAAAUGUUGGGUUAAGUCCCGCAACGAGCGCAACCCUUAUCCUUUGUUGCCAGCGGUUAGGCCGGGAACUCAAAGGAGACUGCCAGUGAUAAACUGGAGGAAGGUGGGGAUGACGUCAAGUCAUCAUGGCCCUUACGACCAGGGCUACACACGUGCUACAAUGGCAUAUACAAAGAGAAGCGACCUCGCGAGAGCAAGCGGACCUCAUAAAGUAUGUCGUAGUCCGGAUUGGAGUCUGCAACUCGACUCCAUGAAGUCGGAAUCGCUAGUAAUCGUAGAUCAGAAUGCUACGGUGAAUACGUUCCCGGGCCUUGUACACACCGCCCGUCACACCAUGGGAGUGGGUUGCAAAAGAAGUAGGUAGCUUAACCUUCGGGAGGGCGCUUACCACUUUGUGAUUCAUGACUGGGGUGAAGUCGUAACAAGGUAGCCGU